rfam:Oryza sativa (indica cultivar-group) chromosome 5, whole genome shotgun sequence.
UAUUUUGACUCGGGGUGCCCUUCUUUGUGAAGGCUGAGAAAUACCCGUAUUACCUGAUCUGGAUAAUGCCAGCGUAGGGGGCCGAAAUUCGGCCUA